AGCAGCCGCGGUAAUUCCAGCUCCAAUAGCGUAUAUUAAAGUUGUUGCAGUUAAAAAGCUCGUAGUUGAACCUUGGGCCUGGCUGGCCGGUCCGCCUAACCGCGUGCACUGGUUCGGCCGGGCCUUUCCUUCUGGCUAGCCCUAUGCCCUUCACUGGGUGUACGGGGGAUCCAGGACUUUUACUUUGAAAAAAU
rnacentral:rRNA from 1 species